rfam:Rhodosporidium toruloides NP11 unplaced genomic scaffold Scaffold48, whole genome shotgun sequence.
GGCCAGAUGCCCGAGCGGUUAAGGGGAUAGACUCGAAUCUACACGACUUCGCCAUCUAUUAGGCUUUGCCUGCGCAGGUUCAAGUCCUGCUCUGGUCG